CAGUCGCCGCGGGAAUACGAAGGGGGCUAGCGUUGUUCGGAAUUACUGGGCGUAAAGCGCGCGCAGGCGGUCUUCCAAGUCAGUGGUGAAAGCCCGGAGCUCAACUCCGGAACUGCCAUUGAAACUGUUAGACUUGAGGACGAGAGAGGUGAGUGGAAUUCCCAGUGUAGAGGUGAAAUUCGUAGAUAUUGGGAAGAACACCGGUGGCGAAGGCGGCUCACUGGCUCGUUUCUGACGCUCAGGCGCGAUAGCGUGGGGAUCAAACAGGAUUAGAUACCCGAGUAGUCCCUGUCUCUUAUAC
rnacentral:rRNA from 1 species